UACAGAGGGUGCGAGCGUUAAUCGGAAUUACUGGGCGUAAAGCGCGCGUAGGCGGCUUUGCAAGUCGGGUGUGAAAUCCCCAGGCUUAACCUGGGAACUGCAUUCGAGACUGCAUUGCUAGAGUAUGGGAGAGGGAAGUGGAAUUUCGGGUGUAGCGGUGAAAUGCGUAGAUAUCUGAAGGAACAUCAGUGGCGAAAGCGACUUCCUGGACCAAUACUGACGCUCAUGUGCGAAAGCGUGGGGAGCAAACAGG
rnacentral:rRNA from 1 species